CGGGACGUAGCUCAGUUGGCUAGAGCGCACGGUUCGGGACCGUGAGGUCGAAGGUUCGAGUCCUUUCGUCCCGA
rnacentral:tRNA from 1 species